CUGCCGCAUUCUGGGUAUGAAGAACUAGAGGAUAUGAUGUUCUUCAGCCUGUGGAGAGCAAUGAUCAACAGGGCAACCUGCAUAUCAGUGGGCUCAUAAACUGGAGCUUGUUGUUGAUAGGCCACCUCCGGUCCAUUAGGACUUUGGGGUGGUCACACCGGCCCAGUGGUGCACACAGAAGAGAGUCUGGUGCGGACUGGCAUAUGGAUGGAGCAGAGCUAUGCAUGUCAAUAGAAGCGAGGCGUCAUGCCUCCUGGGAAGGUCUUAUCUCUUCUGCUCUGUGCACUAAAG